rnacentral:rRNA from 1 species
GACGUAGGGCGCGAGCGUUGUCCGGAUUUAUUGGGCGUAAAGAGCUCGUAGGCGGCUUGUCGCGUCGUUCGUGAAAACCUGCAGCUCAACUGCAGGCUUGCGGUCGAUACGGGCAGGCUGGAGUUCGGUAGGGGAGACUGGAAUUCCUGGUGUAGCGGUGAAAUGCGUAGAUAUUGGGAAGAACACCUGAGGCGAAGGCGGGUUGCUGGGCUGACACUGACGCUGAUGUGCGAAAGCUAGGGGAGCGAACGGG